UAGGGAAUAUUGGUAAUCUGCGAAAGCGGGAACCAGCAACGCCGCGUGUGCGAUGAAGGCCUUCGGGUCGUAAAGCACUUUUUAGAGGGAUGAGGAAGGACAGUACCUCUAGAAUAAGCUUCGGCUAACUACGUGCCAGCAGCCGCGGUAACACGUAGGAAGCGAGCGUUAUCCGGAUUUACUGGGCGUAAAGCGCGUGCAGGCGGUUCGAUAAGUUGGAUGUGAAAGCUCCUGGCUUAACUGGGAGAGGUCGUUCAAUACUGUCGAACUAGAGAGUGGUAGAGGGAGGUGGAAUUCCGGGUGUAGUGGUGAAAUGCGUAGAUAUCCGGAGGAACACCAGUGGCGAAAGCGGCCUCCUGGACCAUCUCUGACGCUCAGACGCGAAAGCUAGGGGAGCAAA
rnacentral:rRNA from 1 species